GAUGAACGCUGGCGGCGUGCCUAAUACAUGCAAGUCGAGCGAAUAGACGAGGCUUUCGCCUCUCUGACGUUACCGGCGGACGGGUGAGUCACACGUGGCUACCCUAUCUAUAAGACUGGGGUAACUUCGGGGAACCGGAUCCAAUACCCGAUAAUAUAUUGAACGGCAUGGUUCAAUGGUCAUAGACGGUUUUGCUGUCACUUAUUGGUGUAUCCGCGCCGCAUUAGCUAGUUGGUAAGGUAACGGCUUACCAAGGCGACGAUGCGUAGCUGACCUGAGAGGAUGAUCAGCCACACUGGAACUGAGACACGGUCCAGACUCCUACGGGAGGCAGCAGUGGGGAAUAUUGGGCAAUGGGCGAAAGCCUGACGGAGCAACGCCGCGUGAGUGAAGAAGGUCUUCGGAUCGUAAAACUCUGUUAGUAGGGAAGAACAGAUGUAUAAGAAACUAUGGCCGUCUUGACGGUACCAAAUGAGAAAGCCACGGCUAACUACGUG
rnacentral:rRNA from 1 species